rnacentral:lncRNA from 1 species
GACUAUGCAACACACCAAUAAAUGCGUCGGGGAUUUGGAGACCAAAUAAAGGUUCCAAGAUAAUCCAGGGUUCAUUCACCAAUACCCAAACCAAGAAAUGCGAAAACAUGAACACCUCAGUUGGGGAAAGAUGAAUUGCAUAAGGGACAACACAUCAGAUAUUGGGGAUGAAAACCUACCAAUCAUGCUAGGGAUGACCAACAAACGUUUGUGGAGGCGAAGUCACC